ensembl:lncRNA
GUGGGGGUUUGGUCUGGGACCUGCAAGCAGUUGAGAGGUGUCAUGGGGCGGCUUUGCCUCUGGGGAGCCGUGGGCUGAGUCGGCUUGUCAGUUUGCUGCUGUAAAUUGGGGAGAAGAGAGGCACCUCAAAACUGUCGGGGACGCCCAGGAGCUUGGUGGGGGCUGCAGAGGGGUGAGGCAGCUGAAUGACCAGCCAGGGGAAGGUCAAGCCCCGGGCUAGGGACCAAAUCCAGACUGGCCAGAGCCCUCUCCAGGGGUUUCUAAAAGAUGCAAUGGUAAAUGAGGGUGACGCCUCCCAACCGGGAGACAGGGCUGUCAACCAUGCAGCUCUGAGGACAUGCUGUCCCAGGACUUUCCAGAAAUGUCUGAAGGGUGUGCUUGCUCCCCACUCGGGGGGUUGCAAAGAUGAGGAGUGGGAGCUCAGAGUUUCUGCAGCCAUCAGGGAGAGCCGAGGGAUGGCCAGAGGUGGAUUCCUGAGCUUGCUGCUUGAGGCCCUGGAUCCAGCCGUGCCUGAAGGCAGCCCAUCCCAACCUCUCGAUUAUGAGCACUAAUAAACUCUCCUUUGUUUCAGCCACUGUGAGCUGGAGUAACUCAAACUCAACCGCCCACAGGGACCACAUUCCUGGCCAGGGAGCUGGGAAGUGUUUCCUGGGGGGAGGGGCAGAAAAGCAAAGCACGUGUCCUGUGCAUCAAGCUUCUUCAUGGGCGCGCCCAGGGAACCGAAGGCUGAGGCCUGGCCAGUGUCCCGAAGGAAGCUUUCACCCCCCUCGUCACUUGUCUCUGUUGGUUCAUGGGCUCGGCAUGUCAGCGUGGCCCCCCGUGCUGGGUCUCAUCAGACCCCAGGGGGAUGCUGAGGGGCAAGCCCAUGGAUCUCCAUCUGUGAGACUGAGCCAUCUGCAAAUGGGCUCAGCUGGGGAGGAUACGCCGCCCACACGGCCAUGUGAGUCCCUGGGGCAGGAACUGCUCCUCAUGCCCACCACAUGCAGGGAAAAAACACAAGUCCUGGAGACAGAUGCCGAGUCCCGUCUCUGCCCACCACCUUCCUGCUUCGAGACCCUGGGCGUGUCACCUCACCUCCCUGGCGUCGGUUUCCUCACCUGUAAAAUGGGGGCUUCAUCGAGGUUUAAUCUCCUACAGCUGAGCGUGAAGCCUGCACGUGGUAAGUGCCCAGCGAGUGCCGGCCCCUAGUAGCCCCACCCCCCAUUGCUGCCCUCAGGUGCUGACGUUCUGGAGGGGCCAAUGCAGACGCCCCCCUGAGACCAGGAAGACCAACAAUCCCACCAGAGAAGAGCGAACAGUGUCUGGCACCUGAGAGAAAGCCACGCCGGCUCACGCUAGACCUCAGUGGCCAAGCGGAUUUAAAUUUAAAUGUACAUAGUCACAUGUGGCUGGUGGCUCCUGUGUUGGACAGCAUCUCUCUAGAAUGUUCCAGCCCAGCAUUGUCCAACAGAACUUUCUGCAAUGACGGGAAUGUCCUGGAUCUGCGCGUCCAAGGGACCCUGGACCCUCUGACUGCAGGAGCUCCCAGUGGCCGGAGCUCAAACGCUUCAUCCUGGAAGGCACGGGACGCCCAGUUAAUUUGCAUUUCAGCUACAGACCAACUCUUUUUAGCAUAAGCAUCUCUCAAAUAUUGCAUGGGACGUGCUUUUACCUGACGACGAUGCGUUAUUUAUCCGAAAUUCCAAUUUCACGAGGCGUUGUGUAUUUUUAUUUGCUAACUCUGGUGACCAUGAGGACGGGACGGGGAGGAGAGGGG